AACGAACGCUGGCGGCAGGCUUAACACAUGCAAGUCGAACGGGUGCAGCAAUGCAUCAGUGGCAGACGGGUGAGUAACACGUGGGAACCUUCCUAGGGGUACGGAACAACUCAGGGAAACUUGAGCUAAUACCGUACACGUCCGUGAGGAGAAAGAUUUAUCGCCCUUAGACGGGCCCGCGUCGGAUUAGCUAGUUGGUGGGGUAAUGGCCUACCAAGGCGACGAUCCGUAGCUGAUCUUAGAGGAUGAUCAGCCACACUGGGACUGAGACACGGCCCAGACUCCUACGGGAGGCAGCAGUGGGGAAUCUUGGACAAUGGGCGCAAGCCUGAUCCAGCCAUGCCGCGUGAGUGAAGAAGGUCUUCGGAUUGUAAAGCUCUUUUGCCAGGGACGAUAAUGACGGUACCUGGAGAAUAAGCCCCGGCAAACUUCGUGCCAGCAGCCGCAGUAAAAC
rnacentral:rRNA from 1 species